AAACCAACAGGGAUUGCCUCAGUAACGGCGAGUGAAGCGGCAACAGCUCAAAUUUGAAAUCUGGCGGCCUCUGGGCCGUCCGAGUUGUAAUUUGAAGAGGAUGCUUUUGGCGAGGCGCCUUCCGAGUGCCCUGGAACGGGACGCCACAGAGGGUGAGAGCCCCGUAUGGUUGGACGCCGAGCCUCUGUAAAGCUCCUUCGACGAGUCGAGUAGUUUGGGAAUGCUGCUCAAAAUGGGAGGUAAACCCCUUCUAAAGCUAAAUACUGGCCAGAGACCGAUAGCGCACAAGUAGAGUGAUCGAAAGAUGAAAAGCACUUUGAAAAGAGAGUUAAACAGCACGUGAAAUUGUUGAAAGGGAAGCGCUUGCGACCAGACUUGUGCCCGUCGAAUCAGCCGCCGCUCGUCGGCGGCGCACUUCGGCGGGCUCAGGCCAGCAUCAGUUCGCUGCAGGGGGAGAAAGGCGAUGGGAAUGUGGCUCUUCGGAGUGUUAUAGCCCGCCGCGCAAUACCCCUCGGCGGACUGAGGACCGCGCAUCUGCAAGGAUGCUGGCGUAAUGGUCGUCAGCGAC
rnacentral:rRNA from 1 species